rnacentral:misc_RNA from 1 species
AACACUGUUAACCUGCGGUACCUGCGGAGGGAUCAUUAUUGAAAUCUAAAUCUAACCAGGAGAGAUUGAGAGGGGGAAACUUCUCUUGUCUUUCUUGGACAACCAACCAACACACAUGACUAGGAAAACAGUGAUGGAUAAUCAGAGAGGAGGAGAGCUGAUUUGGGCCUCUACGGGGGCAACUCUCUCUCUCGCACUCAGAAGUUCUUGUCUGAUAAGUAGCUUACUGAUUUGGAGUUA